CUACUUUUAUUUUCAUUCAUUCAUUCAGUCAUUCUUUAUCUUCAACCUAUAGAACUGCCUCCGCCUCUCUAAACACCACACAUCCUCCGCCUUCACUCUCUCUAUGGCCUCUAUCUCUGUCUCUAAAUCUCCAAAACUUCAACCUCUUAGACCUUCCGCCUCCCUCUCUCUCCAUGAACAAGACAAGGCCUUUGGUUAAUUGUCAUCAGAUCGUGGCUGUUCAUCGGUGCGGUUGACCGUUCUGUGUAGAUCGGGGUGGGGGAAAGUCGAUCUCUGUAGAUCGAAAUCAACAGGGAAAGCUUUGAGGAUUUAUUAGCCAAUCCUGACCUAUGACCUGAAGAGUUUGUUUGGUGCUUGGCGGAAUAUGGUCCUGGGAUUGUUGGCCGUCGUGCUUAGGUGCACCUCUAAGUUCUCGUCAAUGCCGUAUUUUAGGCACUAGACAGGUAUUAUUGCUUUUGCUAUAUCGAGAAUGAAACUUUUUUUCUUUUUUUUUUAACAUGCAAUUCAUUUAAAUUCAAGUAUGAAACGACAGCUACCUGCAACCUACACUCUCAAUAUAUUAUAAUACUACUGUCAUCCCACUACUAUACAUGAAUUACACUUUGGUCAAUUAUCUUUUUAGUCCUUUCAGUUUGAUUUCUGUCAUUUAUUAGGUCCAUAUGGGCCUUUAAAAUCCUUUAAACGACGUAGUAUUGGAUUUUCUCCCAAUUUUUUUUUUUUAUAAGUAAAGAAUUUAGUUAUACUUUUCUUAAUAAAAAUAUGUAAUAUAUAUAGUUUUUGAAAAUUAAAUUAUCGGCCCUAGUAAUGUAAGAAAAAUAAUGCUAUUGAGUCUCCUAUUCCGUGUUGGUAAAAGUGUAAGGUAAUGAAGACUGAAGAGCACAUUGAUUUGUCUUUUUUUUUUUUUUUUUUUGGUUUAAAAAAUUUAUAAAUAAUUUAAUAAAUUUAUAAAUAAUUAUUCAUAGGCAAUACAAGUAUACAACAAUUAAAUGAUCAAAUAAUUAUAUAAUUUCAAAUAAAUUAUUUCAUAUAAUUCAUAUAACAUUUAUCUAUGCCCUACCGAUGCAAUUUUACCACCCAAAUGACAAGUCAAGUUAUUAUUAUUAUUUAGAUUAGCUAGAUAUGAUAUGAGUACUUAUAUGCAAUAGCCUUUCUUGAAACUUCGUCAGCCAUAAUGUCUUAUUACUAAUUACUAAUAUUAGUUAAUAAUUAUCUCUCUUAAUAUAAUUCUGUACGAGCUGGUUAAUAAUAUAAAGUUUAAGUGCUAUGUUCAACAUCAACUACUAAAGUAACUAGAGCUGGUUAAAAUAAGUUUUGAGUGCCAUGUUCAACAUCGGCUACUGAAGUAACCAAAGGAUGAUUGUUUAGAAGUGGAGAUGGACGACGCUGUUUUAGGUGGUGGGUUCCUUAUUGGAGGGGGGAUGGGCAAUGCUGUCGAAAGUUAGUCAGAUCUAGCAAUGGAUUUGUAAUGGAGGUUUAGAAUUGAUUGCUUUGUGUAGAGUUUGGGAUACGCUUGGUCCCUUUCUCACUUUUUAUUUCCUUGAGAGUUUGUUCGUUUUCCGGGAAAAUAGGGGCCUACUUGGUAAUAGCUUGGUUGUAACUAAGGCCCUGUUUGGUGAUGAAAAGGAGGCGAGAAAAGUAGAUAGAAAAUGAUAUUUUUAAAUGUUUAAUUAGGAGGAGAAAAUGUGAGGGAUUUUGUUGGGGCCUGAGGUUUUUUUCCCAACUCUACCUAUAAUCUUUCCAGUUUAGAAAGAAGUUGGAGUGAUUUUGUAGACGUUA